ensembl:lncRNA
CUUUUCUUUAAAUAUUGUUCUGCUUUAGUCAAAUCAAAAGAUUGUAUAUUAUUCACGUGAAAUUGAAUUGUGAUUUUAAUUUUAGGAAUAGAAUUUAAAGAAUAUUACUUUUUAUUGUCUCAAAAUGGACAGGUAAAAAGCAGCUUUGAACCUCAAAUAAUAAUAUAUUUCUUGGAUUCUAGGGGGCACCCAAACUCCAACUACACUACUGACAAUGAGUGGGCAAUAAAUAAAACAUGGAUGAUUCUACAAUUUGACUUAAAUAAUAUGGUAGUUGAUUCUUGAUUUCUAUGCUCACAGCAUGGCAAAAUGUGUAAUAGAUACGCCAGUCCACCAUGUACAUUUCACACUUCACCUCUCCAAAACGUGAAAUGGACAUGCAUGCAGAAGUUGCAUUGCGAUUGUAUAGGAAUUUCUUUCAACUGAUGUACUAAUCACAUUAUUUUAUUGUAUUAUGCCUUGGUGCCACUGGAUUUUAACAUGUCUGACACCCAUACUGUAAGAGGGAAGUUGGGGGGGAGCAGACCACUUCACAGGAAGAGUCUUUUGUCUCUGCAAGGACUCUGGGAGGUAGCAAGGGAGUGUGAACCUUAAAGUGUGAAACAGCUGUGUACUGCCUUUUGUUCCUGGAGAAGGUAUUUAAAUGAGAGCCAUGCUAAGGCUCAGUGAGACUCUGCUGACCCUGCCCCGUGGUCCUGCAGGCUCUCCACCAAGCUUGGUUGUCCGUUGUCUCUGUGUGCUUUGGAUUAAAGAAUGUUGGCUACCGCUCACCGCUCAUCUGCAGGCUUUAUUUAAGUGGAAAAACUUCCACAACACGGGCAAGGGGUAUAAUAUAUUUAACCCUUUUAUGCAUGAAUUAUGACAACCUAUAAGUAUUUUUUUUCAUCUUUAGGCAUGAAAAAAAGAUUUUUGAACAUUUUUUAAAACAUGUACUUCAAAGAGUUUUUUACAUGUCCAGUGGGUGGCAGGGUAUGGAGUGACACAUCAGUGUCCAAUGUAGUGGUUUAUGUGCAAGUAUACCAUCAACACUGAGACAAAUACAAGAAAACAGCCUUUGAAUAGCUGUCCACUGUAGUGACAGUAGUGAAGUAGUGAAGUACCUGGGUAGUCACGUCAACAACAAGCUGAAUCAAAGAUCAAUACAGAGGCUGUAUUUAAUAUUAUUUAUGUCUUCAAAUUCUCACACUUGCAUACAGAGCACUUAAUGGACAAGCUCCAGACUAUUUAUCUCAGCUUCAUGUUGAACACAAUGCUACUCGUUGUCUUUGCUCACAAGUAUAAAAUCUAUCAGUUGUCCCUUGCACAAGACUGAAGAGAGUGGGGACAGAGCCUAACAAUAUAUCUGUCAGGCAGAGAGGCAUCUGCUCCCCACAGGCACGUGCAGAGGUGAGGGCGGAAGGGGCUUGAGCGCCCUGCCUGGGCGGUCUGGAGCUGUAAGAGAAAUACAAAUCAACUCAGAGACACAGACUGAUGUGACACAACCAAUGGACAGCAAGUGGAGAGUGAUACCUCAGAUGAGGAGAUGAAGGAGGAAGACAAGCAAAGAGUGAUUCACAGGCAGAACCGAGUUUAUUUCUCACAGUUUUUUGUUGCCUUAUGCUUCCAAUCGCUGUCACCAAUCUUUGUAUUUUGUUAUUAUCUCAUAACACUUGAUUAAUCAGCUACCAUCUCUCCUAUGGACUUUUUAAUGUCUACAGUCCGAGAUCAACACAGCCCUGCCCUCCAGCACUGUCAGCAGCAGGAGCAGCAGAAACCCCUCAACAGCAACAUUGUACCCAUCAGGUAAAACAUAGGCUAUGUUUGCUUUGCCUUGUCACCACCUCACAACAGUGAUAUAGUAUGAUGCGAUUCCAUAUGAGAUUCUUCAUGAAUGUGUGUUGUUGUUAUUCAGCCUUGGUCAAUGUGCCCCUUUAAACAUCUCUGCAAGGCCCUGGCUCCCCAAAGUUAACAGUUUAUUUCAACCCUGCAAUGUAACAACACUAAACGCACACUUUACUAAGCUGAUUUAACACUUGCUACGCUGUUUUAAU